rnacentral:rRNA from 1 species
CAUGUGGGGCAAGCGUUGUUCGGAAUUACUGGGCAUAAAGGGUGCGUAGGCGGUUUGUUAAGUCACUGGUGAAAGUUUUCGGCCCAAUCGGAAAAUUGCCUGUGAUACUGGCGAACUUGAGUGCGUGAGGGGUGGGGGAACGAGCAGUGUAGCGGUGAAAUAGCGUAGAUAUUGCUCGGAAGGCCGGAGCCGAAGGGGCCCCGACCUGGUACGUAACUGACGCUGAGGCACGAAAGCGUGGGGAGGCAAACAGGAUUAGAUACCCUGGUAGUCCACGCCGUAAACGAUGAUCACUAGGUUGGUGCCGAGCUAUCGGUGCCGGCCGGAGGCAAUUUGGUAAGUGAUCCGCCUGGGGAGUAUGGUCGCAAGGCUG